rnacentral:rRNA from 1 species
GGGUCAGUAGGUUGGUCGUGCCACCGGUACGUACUGGUCUCACUGAUUCCUCCUUCCUGAAGAACCGUAAUGCCAUUAAUUUGGUGUUGCGGGGAAACAGGACUGUUACUUUGAAAAAAUUAGAGUGUUUAAAGCAAGCUAACGCCUGAAUACAUAGCAUGGAAUAAUGAAAUAGGACGAUCGAUCCUAUUUUGUUGGUUUCUAGGAUUGACGUA